GACGAACGCUGGCGGCGUGCUUAACACAUGCAAGUCGAACGGAAAGGCCCUGCUUUUGUGGGGUGCUCGAGUGGCGAACGGGUGAGUAACACGUGAGUAACCUGCCCUUGACUUUGGGAUAACUUCAGGAAACUGGGGCUAAUACCGGAUAGGAGCUCCUGCUGCAUGGUGGGGGUUGGAAAGUUUCGGCGGUUGGGGAUGGACUCGCGGCUUAUCAGCUUGUUGGUGGGGUAGUGGCUUACCAAGGCUUUGACGGGUAGCCGGCCUGAGAGGGUGACCGGCCACAUUGGGACUGAGAUACGGCCAAGACUCCUACGGGAGGCAGCAGUGGGGAAUAUUGCACAAUGGGCGGAAGCCUGAUGCAGCAACGCCGCGUGCGGGAUGACGGCCUUCGGGUUGUAAACCGCUUUCGCCUGUGACGAAGAGUGAGUGACGGUAAUGGGUAAAGAAGCACCGGCUAACUACGUG
rnacentral:rRNA from 1 species